ensembl:lncRNA
UUUUAUUACAGUCAUUUUGCCGUGUAACAGCAGUUGUGCAAUUAUAACGUCUAAAUUACCACAGUCGACUGCAGUUCCUGCACUUUUACUGUAGUAAUGAAAAACAUGUAAGGGCCUCCAGUCCAGCAGGUGUCGAUAAACUCCGAAAUACGCCGUGCAGACCAACAACAUCAUAGUGAGUGUGUCAUUGCCGAUCUUUCGGUUUACUACAGUACACUCAGUUUGUAAUGAUAAUUUCUAGUUGCUAGAAAUAUAAUUUUGAAAAUACAGCCUUUAAGAGUGUUUCUGAGCGAGCGACUAACAGUGGUCGCUGUGGAGAUACACGCUGUGGUUGAAAAAACGAUAGCCGAGUAUCAGGCAGAUGUUUCCCUUUCAUAGGGGGAGAUCCGGCGUUUACGGAUGCUGCUGAAAUUGCAAAGAGCAGCUCUGGAUGUAAGCUGUGAAAGGAUGGAGAAUGGAGGAGAAAGAUCCCAUCAGAAGUCAACUGCUCAAGGUCAUUCGGGUCCACGUUGUAAGGUUAGCGUGAGUGACGACGAUGAGGCAUUCGAGAGACAAAUAACUGUCCUGGAGAAAGAAAACAGAAGGCUGGAGAAGGACCAGUAUCAGCACCAGUAUUGGAACCGAGCAUCCAAAACAGGUAACUUUCUAAAAGUGUUCAGAUUUUUCUGGGGUUGUUUUCUGGUAUACAUCACAUCUCUUAAGUCUGAUGAAUGUUGACUAUUAUUUUUUACGUUCUACAUUUCAGACUGACAUUGGAGGAGGGAUAAUGGUUUCAGAGGCAGCGCUCCACUACAUUGAUCAUUCACACCACCAUAAGCUUACCAAUGGCCUUCUGACGCUGUUGUUCUCAAACGAGGAGCUGGCAGAGAGCAGCCUCAGUGGAAAGAGGUGUAAUGCUCACAAGAAUGAUAAUGUCAAGAAGGGCCUUGACAUCAGACGCCUUGAGCCCAUUGUUGGAUGUCAUGGAGAAAUGUGUUGUCGGAAAAAAAGAUGUAUUCACAAUUAUCGGCGUAAACUCAAUUAUGAAGACAAGCUGUCAAAAGGACUUAUUUCAAGGAGGAGGAAGAAAUAGAUAUCAUUGAACUACUGCCCAUCAUAUAUAUAUGUUGCAACAUCACAAUGGACAACUUCUUUACUAGUGUCUUUUUGACAGAGUACCUCUUUGAAAAUAACUUGACAAUUGUGGGGACUCUUCGCCAAAAAAAGCUGGACAUACCACCAAUUAUGAUGCCAUCCAAGUUCAGAAAGGUGCAUAGCUCUGAGUUUGGUUUUAAUGCCAAUUUGGCCAUGGUGAGUUAUGUGCCGAAGCAGCGAAAGGCUGUUGUCCUCCUGAGCACCCUGCAUGACGGCAAAGUGGCGGAUGAGGCCAGUGCGAAGAAGAAGCCAGAGAUGAUCCAAUACUAUUACUGCACAAAAGGAGUAGUGGACAUUAUGGAUCAGAUGGUGCGUAAUUACACAUGCAAACGCCAGACAAGGAGGUAGCCAAUGGUGCUGCGGUACAAGCUGCUGGAUGUUGCCAACCCCAACUUCAUGGGGGGUGUGAACAGCAUCCAACGGAUGUUCAUCAAGGAGCUGCUUAAAGAGCUUGUGAUCCCACACAUGCAGAGGCACAUGGAAGCCUGUUGCAACCUACCAAAGGUCAUCACUGAGGCAAUGGAAACAUGUGGAGUGAUGAACAAGAGCCAUGCCCUCACCAUUCAGAGCAGCCAGGGCCAGAAGAGGUGCCAGUUCUUCCCAAGCGUUCACAAUUGUUGUCGUUUAUAUUGAUGAACUUUGUAUUUUUAAAUAAAUGUUUUGAAAUAUUA